rnacentral:lncRNA from 1 species
CUGCUCUACCCCUCCGUUCUGGCCGCCGGGAGCAGCUGAGCUCGGGGCGGGCAAAGCUCGAGGGGACACGGGGACAUCCUGACACCCUCCCACGAGGACACUCACCACCAAGGCCGGGACCGAAAGACCGAGCCGCUGCGCGCUGCGUUAAUACAGCCAUCCGGGAGAGGGGCGGAGCUGCCCCCCCCCCCCGAGACCUGCAACCAAUCAGAGGGCCGCUUGGAGGGGGCAGAACAGGAAAAGGAGAGCAGCCAAUCGUCAGAAGGAUUGUAGGCGUGGCUGGUAUGGGAAGCCAAUCGUCGGGACGUUUCGGACCCGGUAGGGUGGGGCCGUUGACUUCCAGCAGCAGGUUCUCCACCCACUGCGGUGUUGGAAGCGUUGAGGCUGUGCUCAGUGGAAACCUUCCUUUCCUGAAGCUAUGCCGGUGCUAGUAUUUAUUUCAAAAGAAAAGAGGCCAUCUUGCCUGAGGACAAUGCCAAUGUGAUUGCUAGAAUAAACAGCCGCUCCAAGUUCACAGCAAGACUAUUCUGAUACAAUGUUACUUUACAAUGA